AUACCCACACUCAUUAAAUACAGCAUUGAUAUACACUGUAUAUCAAUGCUGUAUUUAAUGAGUGUGGGUAUGUUUAACACUGUGUGUAUAUCAGUGCUGUAUUUAAUGAGUGUGUGU